GUGCACUCAGAGCCUGUGCGCGGGUUCCCCCCCUGCUUCUUCCUUCUUCCAGUGUACCAGAGUUCGAACGGGAGAAGGCUGCAUUCCUCAGCUCACCCCUUUUUCCAAAAUGUUUUUGGGAGGGAUACCUUAGUGGAAAAGCGAAGGACAGAAACUACGUGAAGAAAGAAAUCCACAUCUCACCCUCAGAAAUCUCUGUUAUACGUGAACUAAUAUGCUGGGAGUGUACAGAGCCCUGGAACUUUUCUGGCUAAACCUGUAUCUUACCUAGGAGAUCAAUUUCCAUUACUCUCAUCCUAACUCCUUUUCCAAGCUUUACACAUAUUUUAAAAUAUAGAGAAAGAAUUCUGUCUGAAAGUAUAAAGAGCAAAGUAAGUCAAGACAGACUUACCUUGACAAUCUCCUGUUAGCGCUACUGUGUAGCUGUAAUUGAAAUGUCCUUUUUAAAUGUAUGCCCUGGAUUAUUUUUUUGCCGCAGGUCAGUUUGGAAAUGAAACAUAGUAGCUCAGAACAUUUUUCUACAGACAGACUUGCAAUUGUAAUUAUUUUAUUGUCCUUUAGGCUCUUUAGAGCCUGUGGAAGAAUUCACCGAGGUCUGAUUGUGGAAAUCAAUUGGGUAGAGCUCACAUAUAUUCUGCUGUAUAAAUUGGGAAGACCUACAUAGACUCUAAGGAAACCAUAUAGUUAAUUUACAUCUGUGAAACAUAAAAUUGGCCCCUCCAAUGGUAGACUCCUUUACACACCUUGUAUACUGCAUCCAGUUCAGGACUCAAGACAUAUUGAACAUGGACAUAUGGGAGAGAGUCCAGUGAUGGGCCACAAAUAUGAUGAUGGUGCAUCUCUCCUCUGAGGAAAAGCUGGGAUAAUUUGAGAAUGUUCAUCAUGGAGAACAGGAGGCUCAAGGGAGAUCUCAUCUAUCUCAUCGGUGUGCAUGAAUACGUGGAAAAAAAAAGAAGGGUCAAAGAUGAUGGAACCAGCUUCUUUUCAGUGGUGGCCAGUACCAGGACAAGCGGCAACAGGCAAAAACUGGAAAAUGAGAGUUUGCCUCUGAACAGCAGUAAGCAUUUCUUUACUGUGCAGCUGACGGAGCACCGGCAUAGGCUACCCAGAGAAAUUGUGGAGAAGUUCAAAAUCUUCCUGGACAUGAUCCUGAACAAGCUGCUAUAGAUGGCCCUGUUUGAGCAGGGAUUUGAAUUAGAUGACAUCCAGCAUUAGCCAUUCUAUGAUUCAGAGAAAAAUAAGCAACUUAAUUAAUGAAAUUAUGGUUUUGGAAGAGAUGUAAGCUAACAGGCUGCAAUUUCUUUCAAAAUAUUUUUUCUGAAGCUCCUAGCAUAAUGAUUUCUAACAUUGUCUGAGGCUUGUAGACAUUAUCACAGUAUAAAUAUAAUCUGCAAAUAUAAUAAAAAUAUUACCAGUGGAGUAUCCAUAUCA